CCAACAGAGACUUUGAUAGAUGAGGACUACGGUCCGGCGAGAACACUUCUUAUGGGUGACCUUUUAUUUUAUAUAAAGAAUAUUCACUCAGGAAUGACAUAAGUAUAGUUUCCCCAUUUUCCCGUUUACCUUUCUCUCUACCCGGGAGGUUAUCCCCGUUGAGUAGGUCUCUAAAAGUCAUUCUUUGUGGUCAGUUGCUAUCCCGCAUGUGCUUUCGGAGCCCCCCACUUAUUCAAUCACUUGCUUGUGAUUGCAACCAUUCCCCGAAAAGGGAAUUGUCCGCUCCCGUUCAUGGGACGAACCGAACAUCGCGUAAGAACAUUGGGUUUUUUUCCCUCUUUUUCUGCUCUCCUUGUUUUAACUAAGGAACUGCCUUGAAGUAUUACUUUCGGUAUUGAGGUUGAACUAAGUUUUCCCCUCUAUCUAGUGAAAAUUAAUCGAACUGAAGAAGCUCCAAUCAUGAAACUUCAGGCUAUAUGCUUAAUACAUGUAAGUAGAAUCCUUGCAGAGGGGGAGGCAACGAAAGAUUCUUAGACCUAACUAUCCCGGAUAACCUUUAAAUUGCAAGGAGUCUUCUUAGCGGCCUUAAAGGAGUGAAAGAGAGAAGAAAGAGUAGCCGUUGUUGGUGUAAGCCUAUCAGCUGUUGAAUAAGAAGUGUUAGCACCAAAGAAGGAUGGAUGGGAGCUGCUGCUAUAAUAUAAGAGUAGAGCGUUAAACUUUAUUGAUUUUACCCGAUGCUCAAGUUCUGAGUGGGCGUAGGCGCACGUUCUUAAAGAUAG
rnacentral:lncRNA from 1 species